AGCAUAAUCAUUAGUUUUUUAAUUAAGAACUGGAAUGAAUGGUUGGACGAAAUAAUAACUGUCUUAUUUUAAUUUAUAAUAAAAUUUUAUUUUUUAGUAAAAAAGCUUAAAUUAUAUUAAAAGACGAGAAGACCCUAUAAAUCUUUAUUAUUAAUUAAUUAAUUAAUUUAUAGAUUUAUUUUUUAAUUAAUUAAUUACUAAUUUUAUUGGGGUGAUAUUAAAAUUUAAAUAACUUUUAAUUUAAUAUAACAUAAAUUAAUGGAUUAUUGAUCUUUUAUUAAUGAUUAUAAGAAUAAGUUACUUUAGGGAUAACAGCGUAAUUUUUUUGGAGAGUUCUUAUCGAUAAAAAAGAUUGCGACCC
rnacentral:rRNA from 1 species